UGAUAUUUGAUUAUUUGCUUUUAUGUUAUUUGCAUAGCUAUCAUUGCAUAGUUAGAAACAAAUUUUGUUGUUGUUUCCUAUAUAAGUGUCGCUAAAAAAUGGGGAGUCAUACAAAAAUAUCACUAACAAAAAAAAAAAAAUAUACAGGUAACAUAUUAACAUUAAAUAAGUGGCGUCAAAAAAAAAAAAAUCUGGUAAGGGAAAUUCUUAAUCAAAUGCCUCCUUUCAAUUUUCCAUUCAU